UACGUAGGGGGCGAGCGUUGUCCGGAUUUAUUGGGCGUAAAGAGCUCGUAGGCGGCUGUUCGAGUCGGGUGUGAAAUCCUGAGGCUUAACCUUGGGUCUGCAUUCGAUACUGGGCGGCUUGAGUCUGGUAGGGGGAUCUGGAAUUCCUGGUGUAGCGGUGAAAUGCGCAGAUAUCAGGAGGAACACCGGUGGCGAAGGCGGGUCUCUGGGCAGUAACUGACGCUGAGGAACGAAAGCGUGGGUAGCAAACAGG
rnacentral:rRNA from 1 species